GAUACUGAGGUCCUACACUACAGCAAUUACCACAACAUAUUAAAUCCAAGAGAGUGUUUUAAUGAACGCAGAACAGCUUUAUUCAAAAUCCAGAAGUUUUUAUUUUACAACACGCAUGCUUUAAUAUUUGAAUAACCUGCAAUUCCUGAAAUAAAAAAGAUCCAAUAACAUAAAUACAUUGCCAUAAAUUAGCAUUUGAAUUGAAAAAUAAAAUCUGUAAAAGUCGGUUUAGGAUUACACAAGAAACAAUUUUAGAUAUUAAAAUAUAACCAGGAUCAGAAAGGUUAUUACAGGUGCAUGGGAAGACUUAUACCCCACCCUAAUACUGCAUCAGAGAGGUCGUUAAGGAUGUAUUGGUAGUAUACACACCACCCUAAUACUGCAUCAGAGAGGUCGUUAAGGAUGUAUUGGUAGUAUACACACCACCCUAAUACUGCAUCAGAGAGGUUGUUAAGGAUGUAUUGGUAGUAUACACACCACCCUAAUACUGCAUCAGAGAGGUUGUUAAGGAUGCAUUGGUAGUAUACACACCACCCUAAUACUGCAUCAGAGAGGUUGUUAAGGAUGUAUUGGUAGUUUACACACCACCCUAAUACUGCAUCAGAGAGGUCGUUUAGGAUGUAUUAUUCACCAGCCUAAUGCUCCACCAGAGGUUAUUUCAGGUGCACUGGGAGCCCGUACACCACGGGCGCCGCCCCGACCAGGUGUCUGAGCUGCGUGGCCUGGCGGGCGGGGCCCAUGUAGUCCAGGAGGGGGGCCCCGGACCCUGCCGACAGCCAGGACUCCAGCAGGGCGGUGGUGAAGCGGUCGAUGUCCCGGUCCGUGACGUCCCACAGGGUCCCCAACACCAGGGGGCUGCAGGGAGGCGAGGGCCCAUGAGCAAGGCACCGCAGACGGGUCAGCAGGAAUCAUCAGGGUUAAGAUCGGAAUCAGCGGCCAUCAUUUCAACAGGCAGUAUGCCUCAAACACGUCAUAACAGUCCUAGUGAGUCCUGUGUUUCACCAUCCUAGUGAGUCCUGUGUAUCAGUCCUAGUGAGUCCUGUGUAUCAGUCCUAGUGAGUCCUGUGUCAGUCCUAGUGAGUCCUAGUGAGUCCUGUGUGUACCAGGCCUAGUGAGUCUGUGUGUACCAGUCCUAGUGAGUCCUGUCUGUACCAGUCCUAGUGAGUCCUGUGUGUACCAGUCCUAGUGAGUCCUGUCUGUACCAGUCCUAGUGAGUCUGUGUGUAUCAGUCCUAGUGAGUCCUGUGUAUCAGUCCUAGUGAGUCUGUGUGUAUCAGUCCUAGUGAGUCCUGUGUGUUAUCAGUCCUAGUGAGUCCUGGGUAUCACAGUCCUAGUGAGUCUGUGUGUAUCAGUCCUAGUGAGUCCUGUGUAUCAGUCCUAGUGAGUCUGUGUGUCAGUCCUAGUGAGUCUGUGCACAGUCCCAGUGAGUCCUGUGUAUCAG
ensembl:lncRNA